rnacentral:misc_RNA from 1 species
UCCGGCUUAUCACCGGCAGUCCCCCUAGAGUGCCCGGCAUAACCCGCUGGUAACUAGGGACGAGGGUUGCGCUCGUUGCGGGACUUAACCCAACAUCUCACGACACGAGCUGACGACAGCCAUGCACCACCUGUGAACCUGCCCCGAAGGGAGGGUGUGUUUCCACACCUGUCAGGCACAUGUCAAGCCCAGGUAAGGUUCUUCGCGUUGCGUCGAAUUAAACCACAUGCUCCGCUGCUUGUGCGGGUCCCCGUCAAUUCCUUUGAGUUUUAGCCUUGCGGCCGUACUCCCCAGGCGGGGCACUUAAUGCGUUAGCUUCGGCACGGGAGGAGUCGACACCCCCCACACCUAGCACCCAUCGUUUACGGCGUGGACUAC